CGGGUGAGUAACACGUAUCCAACCUGCCGUCUACUCUUGGACAGCCUUCUGAAAGGAAGAUUAAUACAAGAUGGCAUCAUGAGUCCACAUGUUCACAUGAUUAAAGGUAUUCCGGUAGACGAUGGGGAUGCGUUCCAUUAGAUAGUAGGCGGGGUAGCGGCCCACCUAGUCUUCGAUGGAUAGGGGUUCUGAGAGGAAGGUCCCCCACAUUGGAACUGAGACACGGUCCAA
rnacentral:rRNA from 1 species